rnacentral:rRNA from 1 species
CACAUGACUCUCGGCAACGGAUAUCUUGGCUCUCGCAUCGAUGAAGAACGUAGCAAAAUGCGAUACCUGGUGUGAAUUGCAGAAUCCCGUGAACCAUCGAGUUUUUGAACGCAAGUUGCGCCCGAGGCCUUUUGGUCGAGGGCACGUCUGCCUGGGCGUCACG